AUUGAAAAAAUUAUUGUUUAAUAUGUUUAAAUAUUUUUUAAAAUAAGAAAAUUAUCGUUUAAUUAUUUAGUGAAGAAAAAAUUAUUUUUAUAAUAGUAUACUAGUACCGUGGGGGAAUUUAGUUAAUUGUUUAAAAGAAGAUUUUAUUUAUUGUACCUUGUGUAUCAGGGUUUAUUAAUAAUUAUUUGCGUAGAUGCAAGUUUCUCGAAUUUAGAAGAGUUAAUUAUUUAUAUAUUUUAUUGUUAAAUAAAUAUUUAAAAUAAAUAAUUAGUAGUGAAAUGUUAUUCGUUUCUAAAUAUAUCUAGUUUUUUAAGAAAUAGAUUUAAUCUAACUGGUUAUUAUAUAAUUAUUUUAAUUUUUAGUAUAUUACAUUUUACCAUUAAAUAUUUUGGGGGAUGAGCUUCAAAAUAAAAUUUUAAAAAUUUAAUUAAAAGUUAAAUAAAAAUAGGAUUAGAAAUGUCCAUUUUUAAGAAGGUGUUAUAAUUUUUUUUUGAAUAAAUUUUAUUUAUAUGAAUUUUAAAUUUUUUAUUGAAAUAUAAGUUUUAAUUAAUUAGGUUUAGCAAUAAUGAUAUAAUUAGUAUAUAAUAGUGUUUUAAAAACGUUAAUUUUAAGGUUAAUUAAAGGAAUUCGGCAAAUAAUUUUCCACCUGUUUAUUAAAAACAUGGCCUUUUGAUUAUAAUUUAAGGUCUGGCCUGCCCACUGAGUUUUUAAAUGGCCGCGGUAAUUUGACCGUGCAAAGGUAGCAUAAUAAUUAGUUUCUUAAUUGGAAGCUGGAAUGAAUGGUUAAAUGAGAAAAUAACUGUCUCUAGUUAAUUUAUAUAGAAUUUUAUUUUUAAGUAAGAAAGCUUAAAUUAAAUUAAAAGACGAGAAGACCCUAUAGAGUUUUAUUAACUUAAUUAAUUGAAAUUAAUUAGUAUUUUAAAUUUGAUUAAUUAAAUUAAUUUAAUUGGGGUGAUUGAAAAAUUAAAUAAACUUUUUUUAUAUCUUAACAUUUAUUUAUGAAUCCUUGAUCCAGAUUUUCUGAUUAUAAGAUAAAAUUACCUUAGGGAUAACAGCGUUAUUCUUUCAAAGAGUUCUAAUCGAAGAAGGAGUUUGCGACCUCGAUGUUGGAUUAAAAUUAAGUUCUGGUGCAGAAGCUAGAAAUUUGGGUCUGUUCGACCUUUAAAAUUUUACAUGAUCUGAGUUUAGACCGGCGUGAGCCAGGUUGGUUUCUAUCUUUAAUACAUUAAAAUAUUUUAGUACGAAAGGACCAAAUAUUUAAUAAAAUAUUUUUUGUUUGAAUACUAUU
rnacentral:rRNA from 1 species